UGUAACACAGGAAGCUGGGCAGAGGGAAAUGAGAGCUUGUCUGGCUCAAAUUUCAUAGACUGCAGCUGUUCUUACCAAGAUUUAGUAGAUUUCCUGGGGGGAAAAAAUGCUUUUUGACUUGCUGUCUGCACCAGGUCAAAUUUCAGUCACUUUAAAAUGAUGUUGCUUAUAGUUUUCUUCCGCUAAAUGAUCAUAUUGAACAGUUCCUGGGUACAUGUGCAAGACGUGCAGGUUUGUUACAUAGGUAAACGUGUGCUACGGUGGUUUGCUGCACCUAUCAACCCAUUGUGUCUGGAAUUGGUGGGUUCUUGGUCUCACUGACUUCAAGAAUGAAGCCGCGGACCCUCCCGUACUGGAGGUUUCUAUCAAGAUAUCUUUAAGCCUACUGAUUCUUUCCUUGGCCAUGUCUGAUUUACAGGUGA